UGUAAGUCAAUAUUCAUAAUAAGCAUGGAAAAAUAAAUGAGUGACAACAGGAAUCACUGAAGUUCAAAAUAUAGCCUCCAAGUCCUAGAAUUAUGCUCUCCAACGGCAUGCUUAUGUUCAAUUAGCUUAGUUAUCUUUAUAAACCUUCUCUCACUUACUCACUUAUAAUUCUGACAACAGACAACUAGUAGUUUUAUAAUUCAUCUUUAGAAAGAAAAUAUUUAACACAUGUCUACUACUUGUAAGAUACAAAUUAAAGCAGCAGGAUGGUCAGACACGGGAUUCUUCCCUAGCCAAGUCUUCAGCAAAUGCAUAAAGAUGAAUUAAUUUUUGCAGUAAGGCCGUGUGGUGCUAAGAAAUAUAUUGGCUCACACAAUCUCUAUAUCAUAUUACAAUAAGCAAUGUACAGGAAACAAUAAGAUGGUUGACAUAAACAAAUAGUAUGGCACACCCUUAUAAACAAUUUGUUUGAAAACUAGCUUAGUACCAGUGCACAUUGAAGUGAAUAAAGAAUUUUACUAUAUUAUUAUAUAGCAUGACCAUUCAUUAGGACUUCAAUUAUUAGGGAUAUUGCCCUGUUAUUUUAAAGCACUUGAAAGGUAGCAAAAAACACGCAACCAUCCUUAAAUUUGAGCCACUCGUGUCUCAGCUCAACUAGCACAUAGAUACAAUUAGAAACAAUUUUAUUGACAGGAAUCAUGCGGUUUUAAAUAUGGUUCUCAAUAUUGCUAAACAAAAAAAGUAGACUCUGUCAAAACAACUUCAGAUCUGAUUGUUUUGUGUUACAAAGGUGUGUCAACAGACCCAGACCAACAUGAGUAAGAUAUGAAUGCGUUUUAGUUUUUCAAUCUCACUUCCAGAAUCCAGAGUUCCGGAUACAGAUACUUUAAUGGCAAAUUUGAUUGACAGAGAAUUCAGGUAGACCUUGACUUUUAUAGCAAAUUACAACUAAAGGAAUUUUCUCAAUCUCAACAACGAAGCGUUGUUGACUAGUGGAUGACAACAUUUCAAGUAUGGCCAUGACCCCAUACGAAACAAGAAUGAUUUUGAAAAGGAAAACGUUCUUAUACAGAUGUUGAAAAGCAGAAACCUUCAUGCUGAAGUGAGCGCAUUACAUGAAAAUAUUUCUUGUCAUGAACCAACAAUUCCAGAAGCUUUUUAAGCUAUUAGGUGAAUACACAUUAAAUGGUUAUAUAAUAUAUCUCUAACAGGCCUCUUCAUGCAAAAGUGUGGACAAUGUACUGAAAUUAUUUUACAGAAAGAAUGGGAGCAGCAAGGAUCAAUCUCUAGAUCACAUGAUCAUAAAAGCUUAAGCUAUUAGGAGUGUGUGCAAUACAAGUGAUUUCUAUGAUCCACGAUCACUUUUUUAUUUAAUGGAGAUAAUGUGGUUGUUCUCUGUCGGGUAAGGAGGUAAAGGGUUUUUUCCGCCAAAU
rnacentral:lncRNA from 1 species